rnacentral:rRNA from 1 species
AUUGAACGCUGGCGGCAUGCCUUACACAUGCAAGUCGAACGGCAGCACGGGAGCUUGCUCCUGGUGGCGAGUGGCGAACGGGUGAGUAAUACAUCGGAACGUACCCUGAAGUGGGGAGUAACGUAGCGAAAGUUACGCUAAUACCGCAUAUUCUGUGAGCAGGAAAGAGGGGGAGUCGCAAGACCUCUUGCUUUAGGAGCGGCCGAUGUCGGAUUAGCUAGUUGGUGAGGUAAAGGCUCACCAAGGCGACGAUCCGUAGCGGGUCUGAGAGGAUGAUCCGCCACACUGGGACUGAGACACGGCCCAGACUCCUACGGGAGGCAGCAGUGGGGGAAUUUUGGACAAUGGGCGCAAGCCUGAUCCAGCCAUGCCGCGUGAGUGAAGAAGGCCUUCGGGUUGUAAAGCUCUUUCGGUGGGGUAAGGAAAUUGCACAGGAUAAUACCUUGUGUAGAUGACGGUACCCGGCAUAAGAAGGACACCGGCUAACUAACGUGCCAGCA